UCAGUGAGUGCGGUAGUGAUCUCAUCUCGUACCGCGCCAGGUGUGACUCUUCUAUCUUUCCUCCUCUUUCGGUCCCCGAGUCUAUGUGCCCUUGGGAAGACGGAGGAAGAAGCAGUACCGGACUUAAAAUUCACGAAUCGACUUCGAUCGUCCUCUGCUUCGAGCAACGACAGGGGCAGAAAGGAAGAUUACAGGGUCGAUCGCAAGGCCGCGCGAAUGCAAGUCUAUGUUUCGCGCCACGGAUUCCCGUUUCGGAAUGGCAAGGAAAUUAAAUCGAGCUCGAUAAGUACACUAGAAGUGAUGAUGCCUACGAGAAACGAAGCGAUAUUACCUCCGACUAUCUCGAGUACUCGCGCAGCUGUGUUUGCGUAAACGAUUGGAUACCGCGUUCGAAGCCGGCCUCGUUAAAGAAACGAAUUUACGAAUUUACGCGCGCCUAACUCUCGCAGCUGAGUUGCCAAAGUCGACCGUUCGACAAACGAUUUUCCACUCGAAGGGUAAGUUCGCGAUUUGUCGGUUUCGCGGCGGUGUCGUUGCGCAACGGGCUUGAGAACGCCGCGAAGUUCUUGAUAAAAUGUACGGUCAAUAAGGCGUAUCGUGCAAAGACCCUGGCAAUGGCUCGCUCGGUGACGGGACUGUUAAUUAAAUCGUAAACUGUUAAUUAGUUCGUUACACUGACCAGCUUCUCGGGAUCUCGACACCGGUAGCCGCUCGAGGAACGAUCGUCGAUUUUCCACGUGGCAUCGUUAGGGCAAUGAAUGCGCAAAUUAUUCAUUUCGAAGCUUCUAACGCGUUAUAUGUCUAAUAAAAAUUAUAAUCCGAACGCGUAGAAUAAAUGAUUACGCUACCGAAAAUUUCAUCGCUCGUAUCGAAUAAAGUAUAUCGGGGAAUCGAAUUUGUAUUCGGCGAGGAACGGAUAAAUAUGUUGUUUAUUUUUUAUUAGUUGUUCGAGGCUUUCGUUCAGAUAAGAACUCUUUACCAGUCUCCGUGCAAGUCCGCGUGUUAGUCUAAACGUGAUACUUGAAGGAAUGUCGAGUGUACAGAGAUAAACGGGCCUCUUUGGAGUACCGCGCUAUCUAUUAUCUACACUUAUUCGAGUAACAUUUUCCAAUCUCUGGUUUGGACGAAUUCGCGCACGACGUGUCGAUCCCGGAUCGUUACUUGUUGCUCCACGGCAACGACAUUCGCGAAAAUCUCGGCGCCGUUUGUUCUCCGUGCGUGGGAAGGUGCGACAAUCGGUUGGUUCGGUUGCAGCAGUCGUGGAACGGACGAAUGGAGCGAAUCGAAGGCCGGCUUAUCGUGAAAGAUAGGUACUCGGCCGUAUUUGCUGUACGCUGUAGGUACGUGACGACGGAUUUCGCGGCACGGAUAAGGCAUAUUUCCCCGAGCCGUCGGCGACACCCUGUACCAGCCUCUCCAUGUGCGCAACGGACGAAAAAAUAAAGAAAAUUGAGUUUUAGAAAGUCUCCAACGAUUAUCAUCGAAUCAAAGCCUUCGAAGCUUUCUGGCUGGUCUUCCUGCAACGCCCGACGCGAUAGCGAGCCAGAAAUAAACCGAUAGUAUCGUAGAUUCGAGUUCGUUUAACAUCGAAGAGAUUAUCGACGUGUUCGCACGCAUAAUUUCAGUUGCGGGUUCUCCGACUUCUUAUUGUUCUUUGUUUUAUUCCUUCGAAGAAAACUGGAAACGAUGAGAAAAAGCAAAAUAACGCAGCUUGGAAGAAUAAUUUCACUUCCCAGACCGUACGCGCCAGUCGACACGUGGACGCUUGCUCGAUCGCGAGCACCAGUCGGAGAUGGGCGAACUCGUGUUACUCUUGUUGUUUAUUAUAUAUGGAACCGUGGCCUACGACGCUAGAACACGACGGAUCUCGUUCGAACACGGAAUAUAUGUUUUGGACAAACGAUUUAGGUUCUUUCGCAUAGUUUGUUCUCGUGAAAAUGAAACUGGGUAUCGUCGAGCCCCACAGGCUGUGGCUGCGGAGCAGGUUUUCGAUGGUUGAGGCGAUUGGUUGGAACGACGAUCUUCCGUGAAAGAAUUUCAACGCCUCGGGCUAGACGGGGAUCUUGGCGCGGACAUUUUCUUUGGUUAUCUAGCUGUAUGAGUUUUAUUCGACAUCAUAAAGCUAGGUUACCGGAGUUAAGCUCCUCGCCAUAUCAACUUCAGCGAUCUUCUAUCCCUUCUAUCGUGGUCCUUUCACGCACUUCAAGAAUUACACAGUGAUACGCAACUACUUCCUACGCUACCUGUAGUCUUAAACUGACCGUGUACAAGGGAUGUUAAAAUAAAGAUGUAGCGAGCGAACAAUCUUAAAUGCACCUCUGUACCUCAGAGGCAAACUAUGUUAAUUGCAAGAUUUGAAUUGCUGCGAAAAAUAUAAUAAAGUAUAAUACAUGAUUUACCACUUAUCAUAUCAAACUUCAAAAAAUAUUACUCGACAGUUUGCUACGUAGAGUACCUGCUAGACGUAGCAGUUGAACUCGUUUACUUAAUCGAAUGAUUUAAUAAUUUGUAAUUCGUUAGCCUAUGCGAAUCAAUUAUGAAUGACGAUAACGAUCUAUAAAAAGAUCGUCAAAUAUUGAUCUACAAAUAAUGCGAUUAAUUGCUAAUCGUUUUGGAAAUAAAUUGUUUCAUUGUAACGACGACCCUAUGCACGUGUAUC